GCAUUCGUCUCCAACUACCGAAAGCCUGGAACAGGCUACUUUCUCUACCGUUUCCUGUGUUUUACGAACAAAAAAAAAGAAAAAUAAGCUAAUAUAUUAGAAGUUUGAAGACUUUGAAGUUUUUGCCCCACGCACCAUCGAGUUCUUCUCUUUUGAGCUCUUCGUUUACUCACCUUCUGAUGGUUUCAUGGAAAUAUUUGGAAUAAUCAACGCAACAGACCCACUUAUAUGCUCGGUUGUUUGUCCUUGGACAUUGAUAUUAUGUUCCUCGAGGCUCGCAGUUUUCCUCGAGCUACCCGAAAACUCUUGAAUCAGUGCAUUAUCCAAUGAUCAAGUUUUUAAUAAAAUGGAAUAUUCCGCGAGUCCCUUGUAUUUUCUCGGUCCUGUUAUCGAUUUGCUAUCUUGACCGACAAAUGGAACUUACUGUAGUCACUGUAGUAUGGGUCUGGUAUACAAUUUUUGUCAGAAAGAUCUCCCGCGUGCGCUCACAAACCACUUUAUGACUGUUACACUCAAGUACUUACCCUCGUUUGUGGCAAACCGCUGACAAAAUGAGACGUUCACUCGGUGCACGCUGGGAAGAAGAAGGGAAAUGUUGUGCAUGUGAAGGCGCGGGAGAUUUUAAACCAAUGUUGUUACAAUUCAGUACCCUGAUGACAAGUCCAUAAAGCAACUGCUUAUAAAUAACAAGCUGAGAAAGACUCUAAGAAGUCGUGGUUGUCCUGUAAAACAUAACCUGGAAUGUUCCAUUAUAAGUCCCACCAGUGGGUAUACCAGACAACUUUAGUGUGAAAGUUGGGAAAGAACUAUUCAUGCUUUUUUGGUAAGUCAGAACAUUUAAGUUCAUUCAUUGCUAGCUGCUAUCAUCAACCAAACACAUGUAACAAGGCAGGUCAAAUUUAGCUUCGUAUGAGAUAUCUAAAAUGAUGUAUGGCCUGCUGUCAAACUGUUGAAUCAAAAUUCUUUGUGGUUUAAAGGUGUGAUCACAAGUGUGCACUGUGAACAAUAACUGUUUUGCCAUUGUUGGAAGGGGUUGGUGCGGUGUUAGCCAGAAGUGGUGAGUUGAUGGCCUAAUGGUUAGUCAGUUGGACUCUGGAUCAAUAGGUCUGAAAUGGAGCCCAAGCUGGGUUCACUGUGUCAUGUUCUCAGUCAAUACAUCCUACCCUCUCAAUGCCUCUCUCCACCCAAGAGUGUAAAUGGCACUGGCCAAUUUGUGAAGGCAACCUGACAAUUGCUCGGGGUCACCUGCAGUGGACCAGCAUCCCAUCAAGGGCGAGAAGCAAAACUCCUAGUCACUUCAUGUCACAGAGACUGGAGUUGAGCACCCAUGCUGAUUAUCCAUCUGGCUUCUCUGAUCCCUUAGGAAUGGAACUGGCUUCUAUACCCUGUAGCCAGUGAAAACAUCACUGGGAUGUUCUCAUUCCUAGCCACAAAGACUGGAAGGGGGAUUUGGUGUCCUGUGUGAAACACACCUUUUACCAUUUAAGUCCAGCACCCUUCACUAGAUAUACCACAGAACUUUUAAGUGAGGGAGGGAAAGGGCUUUUGUUAACAUGCACUUUUAGCAAGCACUUCUACAACAGAUGACUGGAAACGUGGAGUGGAAGAUUGGGUCGAGGGCAGUAUUGGAUUGUGGAAUUGGGUGGGGGAAAUCAGGGAAUGGUACCCCUUGAGUUUGGUCUUACUGUCAGGUUGAUUCAAGAAUCCACAGUGAAGGACAAUUCCUCAGUAGUGUUUUGGUUGGCACACAGUGUUGUGGCCACCAAAGUCAGGAUUCAAAUCUCUGAAUGAGUCUUUUUUGUGAUAGGAAAAAGAUGGGUCAAAUAAAACAACAGUUAUUUCUACAUGAUAUUCAGAUGACACACCUCAUUUGGAUGAUGCACAGCUUCUGAUUGGCUGUUUAAAAUUGUGGGAAUGAUAUUGUAUGCUUGUUUGGGAUGAUGUCACAUGUCUUAUGCCAUAAAAGAGCAGC